rnacentral:rRNA from 2 species
ACCCGCUGAACUUAAGCAUAUCAAUAAGCGGAGGAAAAGAAACCAACAGGGAUUGCCCUAGUAACGGCGAGUGAAGCGGCAACAGCUCAAAUUUGAAAUCUGGCUUUCGGGUCCGAGUUGUAAUUUGUAGAGGAUGCUUUUGGCGCGGUGCCUUCCGAGUUCCCUGGAACGGGACGCCUUAGAGGGUGAGAGCCCCGUACGGUUGGACACCAAGCCUCUGUAAAGCUCCUUCGACGAGUCGAGUAGUUUGGGAAUGCUGCUCUAAAUGGGAGGUAAAUUUCUUCUAAAGCUAAAUAUUGGCCAGAGACCGAUAGCGCACAAGUAGAGUGAUCGAAAGAUGAAAAGCACUUUGAAAAGAGGGUUAAAUAGCACGUGAAAUUGUUGAAAGGGAAGCGUUUGCGACCAGACCUUUUCCUAGCGGAUCAUCCGGUGUUCUCACCGGUGCACUUCGCUAGGUCGAGGCCAGCAUCGGUUUUCGUAGGGGGAUAAAAGCCUUGGGAACGUAGCUCCUUCGGGAGUGUUAUAGCCCUUGGCAUAAUACCCUUACGGGGACCGAGGACCGCGCUUUUUGCAAGGAUGCUGGCGUAAUGGUCGUCAACGACCCGUCUUGAAACACGG